CCAAGUAUUCAUAGCGAUUAAGACAGUGCAGAAAUUAUGGAUGAACUCGUAACUUUUUUUCCUGGAAAUGUGUAUUACGUUCUUCUAGAACCGUUUGUCUGCAGUUUGGGAUAGGUCUAGGUGAGGCGAGCGAGAGAUUCGAGCAACCGAUAAGAAGAUGGUUGAACGAUUAAAAAUUAUCUUUCUCUUUACACGACGAUAUCUCGAGAAGCGGAAGUCGUAUCGAGAUAAAUUAAAAAGCGUUUUAAAGAGCAAGGUUUCGCGCUUCUAAUGAUCUUUCAUUCGUUGAUUUGAAGUCAUUAUCUUCGAAGUUAUAACGGUUUAAAGUUUUCUUAAUUUUAAUCGAAUUUAAUAGUGUUUC